CGUGUAGUGGUGUCGCCGUCGUCGUCGUCGUAGAGCGCGAAAACAAAGAAAAUUUAUUUAAAAGAAAUCUUUAAGUGAAAAGCAAAAUGAUUAAAUAUGCAAAAAGUGAUUUUUUCACACUAGCUGAAAAGAAAAACGGAAAAUUUCUGUAUACAUUAAGAAGAAAAAUGUAAAAAAGAGGAAAAAUUUAAAGGUGUUUUGGAAUAAAAGCUAAUUUAAAACUAAAAGUGAAUUUAAAAAUUUAAUAUUCAAUAUUAUUUUAAGGGAAAAUGUGAAAAUUUUUUUAAAAUCUUUAGCAUAUGAAAAGAAAAUCAAGCAGAAAAAAAAUUCUCCAUGUAAAUAGCUGUGUAUAACCAUGAACAAGAAGAAGAAUAAGCAAUUCGAGGAAUAUAUGUAACCAGGCAGUAAAAGGGCAAUUAAUCAGAGGAAAACGCAAAAAAAAGUGUGUUUUUUUCAUAUACAGAAGAGCUCUUGGAAAUUCACCAUACAAAACAAAUAGAAUAGAACGAACAAAAAUAUAGAAAAAGGAAAAAAGAAAAAAACAAAUAUUAACAACACAUUCUAAAUGAAACGAAAGAAAUUGAAAAAUAACAACAACAGCAACAACAAUAGUGCAAAGAAAGUGUGAAGAGAUUUUGAUUAAAACAACAACAACAACAACAAUAAAACAACAUAUACCAAAUAAUCAUAAUAACAAGUUUAAUAAGCAAAAGAGUUCAACUAACUGUUAAAAGUUACUCUUGAAAUAAAUUCACCACUACCACUACCGACCCGUUAACUUUUACCACUUACACUCUCUAACACAGAUAUACUAAUAACAAAAUAAACAAAUAAUUAAAAGGAAAAGAAAAUAAUUAUAGAAUUCUUUUCAGAAUUGUUUAAUAAACAUUAAACAUUUAUUUUGGAGUUAUAAUUAACUAAAGUUUAAGCUUUAAAACUUAACUCUCCCUCUCUUUACCACAAGCUCUCUGCUAUAUUCUCAACUUAGAUGUUAUAAAAACGGGAUAACAGGAAUGUAUAAGUUUCGCUCUCUCUCUCUCUGAUUUGACAAGAACAUAAGAAAAUCCUUAAAUUUCACCUGUUUUCUUUUCUUGGAAAAAAGGGAAAUUUUGUAAAAAAAAGUGGCCAAAAAUUUCUUCACAACAGAAAACCUUUUUUUUGUAAAAUAAAGCAAAUAUCUAAAGUAAUUGUAAAAAGUGUAAAUAAUUUAUUUAAUUAAAUAAUUAUUAUUAAAUAUUUAAAUGAAAAAAGAAAAUUAAAACGUGCCUCUAUAAAUUAAACCUAGAAAAAAUUUAAACAAAAGAAAAAAAUCCCCCAUAAAUUAUUAAAAAAAUAACCCCCCAAAAAACAAAAAAAAAAAAAAAAGAAAAUCAUUAAAUUCCUCUACUCUCUGUUAAACAUUAAACGCUCUCUAUCUCUCUUUAUAAUCGAAUGCUCUGGUUCUAUUCCUAAAUUAACCAUAACUCCUUAUUAACAAGAGGUGAAUUUCCUGUUCGUCUAUACUAAAUGUUUAAAUUUUUGUUCAUAUUCGUGGUUCAUAUCAUUUGUUAUUAAUGUUCAAAAGUCAUCAUUCAAGUUAAAAGCUUUAAAAAAAAACAACAAAAGCUAAUAAUACUUAAACCUUUUUAACAUCAAAUACUACAAAUAAUAAAAAUAAUAAUAAAAAAAAUAAUAACAAAAAAACUGCUCCUCAUAAAUUUCUGCUCUCUUGCCGCCCUCCCUCUCAACCUCCAAUACCACAACUGCUUGAGUAAAUUGCUAUACCACAAACAAAAACAACAACAACAACAUCUUUAUCUAUAACAAAAAAGAGCAACAAAAUUACUAAUAACCAUUGUAUGCAACAUGUUUCAUUAAUUUAUAACUAAUUAACAAACAAACAUACUUACUUACAUACAUAUAAAUAUAUAAACAAAUAAAAAUUAAACAUAAUCCAAAAACAAGUAAAUAUUAUUAAAUAUUUUCCCCAAAAUAAAUUUAUAUAAAUAAGUACAUAAAUCACUAACCUUACACAAUUAAACAAAAAACCAACAACUACUACUACUACUACAACAACCAAAUUAAGGAUUAUUUGACAAAAAAAAAAAUAACAACGAAUAUUUACACAACGCUGUUUACAAAACAUAUAAACAACACAAGAAAUAUAAUAAUUAUUCACUCCAAUAACAGGCAACGGAUGUAAAUUAAAACCAAUUCGUUUAAAAGUAAACAAAAUUUUAACAAAAAUUACAUGAUAACAGUUUCUACAUAAAAUUAAAUAAAAAAAAACUAAAAUUAAACUAAAUAAAUAUUACGUAUACGCCUUGGUAAAGCUAAU